UAUUAGAAAGAAUACCAAAUGCGAAGGCAGCUUUCUGGAUCAUUACUGACACUGAGGAACUAAAGCAUGGGUAGCGAAGAGGAUUAGAUACCCUCGUAGUCCAUGCCGUAAACGAUGUGUGUUAGACGUUGGAAAUUUAUUUUCAGUGUCGCAGCGAAAGCAAUAAACACACCGCCUGGGGAGUACGACCGCAAGGUUAAAACUCAAAUGAAUUGACGGGGACCCGCACAAGUAGUGGAGCAUGUGGUUUAAUUCGAAGAUACGCGCAGAACCUUACCAACACUUGACAUGUUCGUCGCGACUUUAAGAGAUUAAAGUUUUCGGUUCGGCCGGACGAAACACAGGUGCUGCAUGGCUGUCGUCAGCUCGUGUCGUGAGAUGUUGGGUUAAGUCCCGCAACGAGCGCAACCCUCACUUUUAGUUGCCAUCAUUUAGUUGGGCACUCUGAAAGAACUGCCAGUGAUAAGCUGGAGGAAGGUGGGGAUGACGUCAAGUCCUCAUGGCCCUUACGUGUUGGGCUACACACGUGCUACAAUGAUAUUUACAACAGGAAGCAAAACGGCGACGUUAAGCAAAUCCUUAAAAAAUAUCUCAGUUCGGAUUGCACUCCGCAACUCGAGUGCAUGAAGCUGGAAUUACUAGUAAUCGUGGAUCAGCGUGCCACGGUGAAUGCGUUCCCGGGCCUUGUACACACCGCCCA
rnacentral:rRNA from 1 species